GAUGAAGAACGUAGCGAAAUGCGAUAAGUAAUGUGAAUUGCAGAAUUCAGUGAAUCAUCGAAUCUUUGAACGCACAUUGCGCCCCUUCGUAUUCCGAGGGGCAUGCCUGUUCGAGCGUCAUUAUAACCCCUCAAGCUCAGCUUGGUGUUGGGGCCUGCUGCACUGGCAGCCCUUAAAAUCAGUGGCGGCGCCGUCUGGCUCUAAGCGUAGUAAUUCUUCUCGCUAUGGAGUCCUGGUGGAUGCUUGCCAUCAACCCCCAAUUUUUCUAUGGUUGACCUCGGAUCAGGUAGGGAUACCCGCUGAACUUAAGCAUAUCAAUAAGCGGAGGA
rnacentral:misc_RNA from 1 species